rnacentral:rRNA from 1 species
AGUGAACGCUGGCGGUAGGCCUAACACAUGCAAGUCGAACGGCAGCACAGUAAGAGCUUGCUCUUACGGGUGGCGAGUGGCGGACGGGUGAGGAAUACAUCGGAAUCUACUUUUUCGUGGGGGAUAACGUAGGGAAACUUACGCUAAUACCGCAUACGACCUACGGGUGAAAGCAGGGGAUCUUCGGACCUUGCGCGGUUGAAUGAGCCGAUGUCGGAUUAGCUAGUUGGCGGGGUAAAGGCCCACCAAGGCGACGAUCCGUAGCUGGUCUGAGAGGAUGGUCAGCCACACUGGAACUGAGACACGGUCCAGACUCCUACGGGAGGCAGCAGUGGGGAAUAUUGGACAAUGGGCGCAAGCCUGAUCCAGCCAUACCGCGUGGGUGAAGAAGGCCUUCGGGUUGUAAAGCCCUUUUUUUGGGAAAGAAAAGCAGCAGGUUAAUACCCCGCUGUUCUGACGGUACCCAAAGAAUAAGCACCGGCUAACUUCGUG